rnacentral:misc_RNA from 1 species
GAGCUCUCAAGAUUUGUUAUACUUGAGAAAAAGCUUCAAUCUUUGGCGAGGAAAAAAAGUAGAGAGAGAGAGUAUCGGGUUGACAAUGGAUUCAGGUGAUGCAUCUGGAUAUUCAGCUGGGGUGGACGAUGAUUAUGAGUCUUUACUUUCAACGACUGAUGCAGAGCUCUUAAAACGAGCAUGGCGGAAUGAAAAGGCUGCUCCUGAAAUUCUUCAACAUGAGACUGCUUUGGUUCAAAGAUCCAGAGAACAAAUUCAAUUGAUGGAAGAAACAGUAGAGGAAUUUUCAAAAAAUGGUGUUGAUCCGCUCACUUUAUCUCUUUACCAGAUGGACCUCGAUAGAACUCUAUUUCUAUUAAGAUCAUACUUAAGAACCCGUCUCCAAAAGAUCGAAAAUUAUGCAUUUCACAUACAAAAAAAUACUGACUUAUGGAAUCGUCUCUCUAAACAAGAGCAGAAAUUUGCUGAAAGGUGUAUUGACGACACGGAGCAACAUCUAGAUCAAUCUGUUCUCUCAAAGUUGCCUCAUGGCUUCAAGUCCCACUUGAAGCAAUCUUCACUAAGUUUGGCAGAUGACAUGGUUCCUGAGCCGCAGCUAGAUCAAUAUGUCAUCUGCAGAAGCAAAAAGUUUUUAGGAUCUUUUCAGCUUGAUGACAGUGGGGAAGAACCAGUGAACAUUGAAGCCAAUGAUUUGUAUGCUCUACCUUACAAGUCUAUAAAGCCACUUGUGGAGAGUGGGCAGAUUGAUCUGGUAUGAGAGUAUAGGAAACAGAGAAGUCCUAUAUUGUGCAGACUCUCAAAAUAUGUUGCUGUACCCGUAUCAAAUCCUCCAAAAAUGCACUACUUUUGGAGGAUCCAGCACACCCAUGAACAUUUUUGAAAAAUUCGAGUUGGAAACAUUGCCCCUAUGUAUUCUGCUGAUAGGAAACUGACGAUAUGCCACAAAUCAAAAAUUAUAUUAUCUAACAAUGUUGUAGUUUGUAACAAAUGCAGCAUAGGAACUCCAACUCUUUUACAAUCCUAUUAACUGCUCAAGAAUGGUUUCCCUUAUUGUGGUAUGAAUAGUGUUCUUGUUUCAAACUAUUUUG